rnacentral:rRNA from 1 species
GACGAACGCUGGCGGCGUGCCUAAUACAUGCAAGUUGAGCGAUGAAGCUUGGUGCUUUCACCAAUUUGAAGAGCAGCGAACGGGUGAGUAACGCGUGGGGAAUCUGCCUUUGAGCGGGGGACAACAUUUGGAAACGAAUGCUAAUACCGCAUAACAACUUUAAACAUAAGUUUUAAGUUUGAAAGAUGCAAUUGCAUCACUCAAAGAUGAUCCCGCGUUGUAUUAGCUAGUUGGUGAGGUAAAGGCUCACCAAGGCGAUGAUACAUAGCCGACCUGAGAGGGUGAUCGGCCACAUUGGGACUGAGACACGGCCCAAACUCCUACGGGAGGCAGCAGUAGGGAAUCUUCGGCAAUGGACGAAAGUCUGACCGAGCAACGCCGCGUGAGUGAAGAAGGUUUUCGGAUCGUAAAACUCUGUUGGUAGAGAAGAACGUUGGUGAGAGUGGAAAGCUCAUCAAGUGACGGUAACUACCCAGAAAGGGACGGCUAACUACGUG